GUGCUCGCUUAGGCAGCACAUAUACUAAAAUUGGAAUGAUACAGAGAAGAUUAGCAUGGCCCCUGUGCAAGGAUGACACACAAGGAUGAAGCGUUCCAUAUAUAU